GAAAUAAUACGGAAUCAAGUAACAGACUUGCAUGUGUUGCUAGUUUUUUCAUUUGUUCACUUUCUUCUUCAGUUUUUUGUACCUUGGCUUCAAGUGCGUUGAUUUUUA
rnacentral:ribozyme from 14 species